CAGCUGCGCAAUGGGCACAUAGCGAACUAUUCUUUCGCCUUUUACUAAAGAAUACCGUGUUCUCAUUGCAAUUCAAGCACCAUACAUCACUUUUUGGGAGUAUUUUCUUUAUUGGAAAAC